AGCAGCCGCGGUAAUUCCAGCUCCAAUUGCGUAUAUUAAAGUUGUUGCAGUUAAAAAGCUCGUAGUUGAAUUUCGAGACCGGCUUAUUGGUCGUGCUUUUGUACGUACUGGUAUAAUCGGUUUCUCCUUUCUGACGAACUAUAAUGCCAUUAAUUUGGCGUUAUAGGGAAUCAGGACUGUUACUUUGAAAAAUUAGAGUGUUUAAAGCAAGCUCACGCUUGAAUACAUUAGCAUGGAAUAACGGAAUAGGACGUUUGAUUCUAUUUUGUUGGUUUCUAGGAUCGACGUAAUGAUUAAUAGGGAUAGUUGGGGGCAUUAGUAUUCAAUUGUUAGAGGUGAAAUUCUUGGAUUUAUUGAAGACUAACUACUGCGAAAGCAUUUGCCAAGGAUGUUUUCAUUAAUCAAGAACGAAAGUUAGGGGAUCGAAGACGAUCAGAUACCGUCGUAGUC
rnacentral:rRNA from 1 species